AUUGAACGCUGGCGGCAUGCUUUACACAUGCAAGUCGAACGGUAACAGGUCUUCGGAUGCUGACGAGUGGCGAACGGGUGAGUAAUACAUCGGAACGUGCCUAGUAGUGGGGGAUAACUACUCGAAAGAGUGGCUAAUACCGCAUGAGAUCUACGGAUGAAAGCAGGGGAUCGCAAGACCUUGUGCUACUAGAGCGGCCGAUGGCAGAUUAGGUAGUUGGUGGGAUAAAAGCUUACCAAGCCGACGAUCUGUAGCUGGUCUGAGAGGACGAGCAGCCACACGGGGACUGAGACACGGCCCAGAGUCCGACGGGAGGCAGCAGUGGGGAAUUUUGGACAAUGGGCGCAAGCCUGAUCCAGCAAUGCCGCGUGCAGGAUGAAGGCCUUCGGGUUGUAAACUGCUUUUGUACGGAACGAAAAGCCCUGGGUUAAUACCCUGGGGUCAUGACGGUACCGUAAGAAUAAGCACCGGCUAACUACGUGCCAGCAGCCGCAGUAAUAC
rnacentral:rRNA from 1 species